GAUUCAGAACAGGAAGAGAAGGGAUUUAUUUUUCCAGCUCAAAGGCCAGAUUUAAGAAGUUUCCUUUCUUAAUCAAAAAGAAAGAAGGCACUCGUUCUCACUUGAAAGGUUUCUUUUUUUUUUUUUUUCCUUGUUGAUUGCUUCAUCCAUUCAUUUGAAAUUUGGAAGUUCAAGCCCUCCUUGCAUUGACUUGAAAGUACGUGGAAAUGGAACUUAUAAGCUACCUGAAAAACACAUUUCAUUCGUCAUUCCAUAUUUGCUAAUGUCAGAAAAGGCUGUGCAUUUGACCAGAGCAGAGGUCUCAGUCUGAAAGCCCAGAGGCUUUUUCUGCUUUGUGGCCUCCCAGCUGCUUCAAAUUAGAACUUGGUGCCAAUAUUGAAAAACUGGGAAUUUGGGCAUAGACAUUCAGAUUUCUAGUUUUCUUAUUAAAAAUCAGAUCUGGCAAGAUAGGGCCACUGUCCAAACUCACAACGACCUGUUGGGCUUUGGCAGUUGUUUAGCACCGUGAGUAUGGUGUGAGCGCUUUAGUUGCCCCCCCACACCCCCCCAUACUCACGGACUAACUUGUUUCAGAGCUAAUCUUUUUCAUUAAAAUCCUUUCUCCAAAGUGGGCCACAGAACAAAGCUAAGCAGUAUUUAGGUUAGCGGUUAUUAGUUCCCCUCUAGAUGACAUGAAGUCCUAUUAUGUAGUAGGAAGUGUCAGAUCAGGGAUUUGAACCCAGGUCUCUGGCUUUAGACCAACCCUUCUGGGUAAAUAAGUGUUCUGCCUCUUUCCCUCUUGUCUUUGUUUACUCUCUUAUAAUUACUUCUUAAACACAGUGUUGCCAGACUCUGCAAACGUAUCCAGUUCAGUCUGUUUGCAUUGUGAUAGUUUUGUUGAGCAAAAUCCCUUCUCGCCUUGCCUUGUUUGUUUGGGAGAAGCAAGGACCCAGGACUAAAGAGGGUGUGGUUCAGAGCUGCAUCCUCAUCCAUGAGGGUGUUGCUGGAGGCAAAGUAGACAAAUCAUUCAGUCAGUUCUGUUACAAGACGCUGCUCAGAAGCUCAUGCUGAUGCCAGUGGCCUCAAGGCUGAAAAAGUAGGAAAUGCCAGGCUCUGGCUUCUGCUUCAUUCUUCUCUUCGAACUGCUUUGCAUGGUGCCCUCUGGCUUAACAACCCAGCAAGGCUCUUCCUGGCCCUCAUGGUCAAUUUUGAGCUCCCAAGGAGUCUUCAGAAUUGGACCUCUACCUAUGUCUACAGCCAUGACUUUCACCAUCCUUCUCCUUCUAAUUAGAUUCCUCCCUCAAAACCUUAAAGGUACUCUCACCUCUAGGCUUUUGCUGGAAGAUUUUUCUGCCUGAAUGCUCUUAUCUCCUGCCUCUUUAUUUUAUCCCUAACCAAUCCCUCCUUGCCCAUUGUGCCUAACCAUUAGCAUCAUCCCUCUCCAGCAAGCUCCUCAGCAACUUGAAUGGCUUUUCCAUCGCCAUGGAGUACUCAGUGCCAGCCUGUGCCAACUUCCCACGGUGCAAGGUCUUGUGUCUCUUACACUCAGCCCUAGCUCUGUGCAUGAGAAUGCUUGAAAAAUGCUUGUUGUAGGAUUUCAUAUUAUGUAUGUUUAAUACCUGAAGAUGAAAAGUCUUUCCCUAGGAGCUCUGUUGUGUCUGUUAGAGGGGCAUGUUAGUAUUCAAGACAGCAAAUCAGAGUUGCCUUCCCCCGCCCCCCAUUUUUGGUUGCCACGUGGCGCAUGGUGUUCCUGGGCCAGGGAUCAAAUCCAAGCCAUAGGCAUGACCUAAGCCACACAGGUGGCAACACCAGAUCCUCGACCCACUGUGCUGGGCAGGGAUCGAACCUGUGUCCCAGUGCUCCCAAGAUGCUACUGAUCCCAUUGCCCCACAGGGGGAGUUCCCAGGUCAUCUUUGUAGAUGUUGCAAGACUUAAAAGGAGUAGAAGCUACAGAACCUCCUCAUAUUUUUGAGAGCUUUCUCUGUGCCAGUGCUGUGCUACCAGAGUAGGGAAGCCUUUGGCUCUAUGGCCUCAUUGUUUGGCAGCAAGGAGACUGAUGAGGAAAGAAGUUAAGUAGUCUCCUGAAGUUGCACAAUUAAUUGUCGUAGGAUCAAGGAUGGAUCCCAACAGAAGUUGCUUGGCUAUUGGGACCCAUUGGGUUAACUACCACGUAAAGAAAUUCUUGACUUAUUUGCUCUUGCCACUUGACUGUUUCUUGGAAGCCUCCUCCAGUGUCAAGAUAAAUUUGGGGCAUCCUUAGGGUUAAUUAAGAUUAUUGAAUUAACAAUCACAUUUCUUUGAUGGCCCAAGUCAGUCUCUAUUAUGAAAGUAUCAAUGGCCUGAACGAGCCCUUGGAGAUGCCAGCAUAUUCUAUUCCCUUCUUCGUUAUCAAGAUAUACCCAUUCCAGGUGCCAUUUUGUCAUUUAUCAAACUGUGCCAGAAUGUCAUUGUGUGCCUCCCAGGUCAGAAUCCUCUGUCCUGCAUCCUAAAAAAGGAUUGAUGUUGUCAUUCAACCCUGUCUUUCUAUCAAAGGUGAGAGCCAUUCAAAUCUAAGUUGGACAUUCACAGCCCUAUUUUGAAAUUGUUAUGAUCCUCAAACUAAAAUGCAAGCAUUAUGUCUCUGAAGCAUCAUUACAUCUACCUAGAAUGGUACCUUAUGAUGUAUUUCACUCAGGGUUGACCUAGAAGAAAAGGACUGGAAGUCUGGGAUGAGUAAUUUUGGUCUUAAGUACGUGAAAAUUUCCCAAAAAGACAUGGUUACUGGAUAUGAUACAAUCUCUCUAGACAGUUCAAAUUUCAUCUCAGAUACUCACUGAUGGCCUUUAAUAGGAAGUCAUUUUCUAUGUUUUCUAUAAUUUUAUUUGUUGUAGUGUGAGUGGCUGCAGUUCUGGAGCUUUCUGGCAAUAGCAUUUUUUAAUGUUUUAUUCGCAAUGUUAGAAAAAAAAAAAGGUUAGCUAUUAUUUACUGAGUGUCUCAAGUGUGCCCCAAACAAAACCAUUUCUGAUCCUUCCAACAGGGCUGAAAAAUAGCUAAAUUGCUCUCAUUUUAGACAAUGAACCUGAGGGUGAAGACACAGUUUACCUGAUGUUAAACAGCUAAUGAAAGUCUAAGAUUGAUUUAAAACAGGAAUUUCCUGGCCUUAAACUCCAUGGUAUUUCUACUCUACCACACUGUCGUGGAAGCUUUUUUUAGGGUUAAAAAGAUGUUGAGUGCAAAGCUGUGAUGAUAGUGAAUAAUUGGAAACAAUCUAAGCAUCCACUGAGAGGGGAUUGGUUUAAUACAUUUAGUUACAAUCAUAUAAUGCAACAGUAUUUGGCAUUUAGAUAUUCACUUUAAGCAGAAGUGAAGUAUACAUUGCCAUGACAGAAGUCCAGCUCACAUUUAGUGGAAAAGAGAUUGCAAAUGAAUUUGCACUUCACUAUCAGUUGGCUAAGAUAUGCAUAUGUGUUCAUACAUUUGUGCAUUCAUAGGUAAAGUGUGGACCAGCACUGUCCAGUGGAAAUUGAGUACAAACCAUAUAUGCAAACAGUAAUAUUUUUGACCAUGACCAUGGCAUGAGUAAGUUCCUGAGCCAGGGAUCAGACCUGCCCCACAGGCAGUGACAGUUCCGGAUCCUUAACCUGCUGAGCCACCAGGGAGAUCUUCUUUGUUUUUUAAAUUUUUUUGUAAAUAUUAAUUUUGUUUAGGAGUUGCCUUAAACAAAAGGAAACAAUCAAGAUUAUUUUACUGUAUUUCAUUACCAACAGCUUCUCCUAUAUAGUAUCAUUUCCACACAUGGUCAGUAUAAAAAUAGUAAUGAAGUAUUUUAAAAUUUUUAUACUAAGUCUUCAGAUUCCAGUGUGCAUGUCACAUUGACAGCACAUCUCAAUUCAGACCAACUGAAUUUCAAGAGUUCAGUAGCCGCAUGUGGUCCACAAGUUACCCUACUGGGUGGCACUGGUCUAGUGGAGAUAUAAUAAGAUCAUUAAGUGUUCUCUUUGGGAUGGCAAGAUAAUAUGUGUUGGUGUUAGUUUAUUGUCUUCUUUUGUCUUUGCCACAUUCCCCAAGUUUCCAUAAGGGAUAUGUACUGCCUUUGUAAUUUGGAAUUAAAAUAAUCUGUUAAAGACUUUCAUUUUUAAUAGGGAGUGGUAAGCUUCUAAAAUACACUUUAGGAAUUCCCGUUGUGGCUUAGCAGGUUACAAAUCUGACUAAUAUCCUUGAGGAUGCGAGUUCAAUCCCUGGCCCUGCUCAAUGGGUUAAGGCUCCGGCGUUGCUCUGAGCUGUGGUGUAGGUGGCAGAAGCAGCUCAGAUCUGGUGUUGCUGUGGCUGAGGUGUAGGCCAGCAGCUGCAGCUCCAAUUGGACCCCUAGCCUGGGAACUUCCAUAUGCCACAGAGGUGGCCCUAAAAAGCAAAUAAUAAUAAUAAUACACUUUAAAAAAUAAAUACCCAAAAUGUGAAUUUGUGACCUAUUUUCAAUGGCAGAGAGAAGCCAGGGAUGGUAUGGUCUUGGCUCUCCCUUGUGCUCCUGUGCCAUCCUGCUCUGUCACCCCUUCUCCUGUGUCCCACCUCUGGAGCCUUGGAGAGAAGAGAAGCUAAGCCCCGCCUCCACAGGAAGGUCCCUGGCGAAGCUGCCUUGCAUGCCAGAGGGUUGAGGCUUUGCCCCAGAUUCAUUUUCACUCUCUUUGAGAGACAGAGGCAGCUGUCAUGGAAAAAGACUCCACCAGUAUUUCUCAAUCUUUUGUCAUUAUUGCUGCCCCUUCACCCACAAGCCUUUCUAGGCAACGUUUUUCCUAGUGGCUUCUCCUCUUCCCCCAGUACAUUCAAUUCCACAGGUGUAUUGUAUAUCUGAUUAUGAAGUGUGACCCUCUGGAGAGGCUCAAGCCACUUUAACAUAUAAGAUUUUUUGCCCCCCCUCACACCAAGAACUAAUUUUCACUCCCUCAAGAGGCAAUAGCAUCUGGUCUCCCACUAAGAAUAUGCUCAUUCAUGUGCAUGUCAAUGACAGCAGUUGUUCUGUGACCCAUGUUUAACUUAGCAUCUUGGGCCAACAUCACCCACCUCCCUAAACUUCUGACCCACAGGGCUUCCCCAUGGCCCUCGUAGAUCCCUUUCACUUCUGUAUUCCAACCACAGCAAGUUGAUCCAUCCAAAAAACCACUGCAUCUGGAAACCCACGUCUCUCCCUUUCUCUCUGACCACCUGAAGAAUGUUCUCUAUGCCUUUCUCAUGGCACUUCCCCAAGCUGACCUUGUCUUGUCCCUUGUUCUGGUCCUGUCUCCUCUCCCUAUGAUCCGAUCCUCCUCAAGGAUAGGACUCUGCCUGUGAUGCUGUUCUCUGUGGUGUCUGGAGCUGUGCAUGGCUCUGGCUUUGCAUGCCGUAGUCCGACUGUAAGGAGUUGUGUAACUGAAUGAAAUUGCCUUCAGAAAAUGCUUUCCGGUCCAACUGUUUCUCUAUCAGGAAAUCUCAUUAAGACUUAAUCGGUAACAUCUUCCCCUCCCGUGGGGUCAUGUGGCAGUCCCCGACGGGGGACAUGAGAACAUCCUUUUCCAUUCCCGGGACCCACACAUUUCCGGCAUGGUUCACACCCCUCUGAGGUCAUUGCCUGAGGGCAAAAUUACAUGGCAACCUUGUGAAACUUGCUGCGCCUCUGCCUCUCCCUUUUAUUUCUUAAAUCACUGGAUUGAAAAUGUUCAGAUUGGAAACUAUGAAAUAACAGCCACUGAGAGCUUGGAUGUGUUUAACUCUAUCAGAAAGCCCUGCAUCCUGGUUUUCAUCUGCUUAAUCAGUUCUCUGUUCUUAUUCCACUAGAAGCCUCUCCAUCCCAACUACCCCCCACCCCACCACCACUAAGCCAUGGUCCACCCCUGUCCACUCACACCCACCAAGAGACCACUCUUAAGAACUACUUCUCGGAGUUCCCUUUGUGGCUCAUUGGUUAACGAACCCAACUAGGAUCCAUGAGGAUGAGGGUUCAAUCCCUGACCUUUGUCAGUGGGUUAAGAAAUCUGGCAUUGCCGCAUGAGCUGUGGUUUAGGUUGGAGACAGGGCUCUGAUCCUGCAUUGCUGUGGCUGUGGCUGACGACUACAGCUUCAGUGUGACCCCUAGCCUGGGAAUUUCCAAAUUUCCAUAUGCUGCAGAUGCAGCC
rnacentral:lncRNA from 1 species